AAUUUUACACAAAGCACUUGUGCUUUGAACGUUGGCUUUGCCAACGGCUCCGCAGGAGUGAGCUCGCGAUGCGAGCGAAUAAAAAAGCCGCAAA
rnacentral:ncRNA from 1 species